rnacentral:rRNA from 1 species
UACGAAGGGGGCUAGCGUUGCUCGGAAUGACUGGGCGUAAAGGGCGCGUAGGCGGCGGUGUAAGUCAGACGUGAAAUUCCUGGGCUCAACCUGGGGACUGCGUUUGAGACUGCAUUGCUAGAGGAUGGAAGAGGCUCGUGGAAUUCCCAGUGUAGAGGUGAAAUUCGUAGAUAUUGGGAAGAACACCGGUGGCGAAGGCGGCGAGCUGGUCCAUUACUGACGCUGAGGCGCGAUAGCGUGGGGAGCAAAC